UGUGUAGGAGUGAAAUCCGUAGAUAUAAGGAGGAACACCAAUGGCGUAGGCAGGUGACUGGCUCGUUUCUGACACUGAGGCACGAAAGCGUGGGGAGCGAACGGGAUUAGAUACCCCGGUAGUCCACGCCGUAAACGAUGGAUGCUAGCUGUUAGGAGUAUCGACCCUUCUAGUAGCGAAGCUAACGCGUUAAGCAUCCCGCCUGGGGAGUACGGUCGCAAGAUUAAAACUCAAAGGAAUUGACGGGGACCCGCACAAGUGGUGGAGCGUGUUCUUUAAUUCGAUGAUAAGCGAAGAACCUUACCAGGGCUUGACAUCCUUGGAAUUUCUCCGAAAGGAGAGAGUACUUUAUUGGACCAAGUGACAGGUGUUGCAUGGCCGUCGUCAGCUCGUGUCGUGAGAUGUUAGGUUAAGUCCUUCAACGAGCGCAACCCUUAUGUUUAGUUGAAUUUUUCUAAACAGACUGCCUCGGUAACGGGGAGGAAGGAGGGGAUGAUGUCAGGUCAUUAUUACCCUUACGUCCUGGGCUAGAAACGCGCUACAAUGGCCGGUACAAAGGGCAGCCAACCCGCGAGGGGGAGCAAAUCCCAUCAAAACCGGUCCCAGUUCGGAUUGCAGGCUGAAACUCGCCUGCAUGAAGCCGGAAUC
rnacentral:rRNA from 1 species